rnacentral:rRNA from 1 species
GACGAACGCUGGCGGCGUGCUUAACACAUGCAAGUCGAACGGAAAGGCCCUGCUUGUGUGGGGUGCUCGAGUGGCGAACGGGUGAGUAACACGUGAGUAACCUGCCCUUGACUUUGGGAUAACUUCAGGAAACUGGGGCUAAUACCGUAUAGGAGCUCCUGCUGCAUGGUGGGGGUUGGAAAGUUUCGGCGGUUGGGGAUGGACUCGCGGCUUAUCAGCUUGUUGGUGGGGUAGUGGCUUACCAAGGCUGUGACGGGUAGCCGGCAUGGGAGGGUGACCGGCCACAUGGGUACUGAGAUACGCCCCAGAGUCCUACGGGGGGCAGCAGUGGGGAAUAUUGCACAAUGGGCGGAAGCCUGAUGCAGCAACGCCGCGUGCGGGAUGACGGCCUUCGGGUUGUAAACCGCUUUCGCCUGUGACGACGCGUGAGUGACGGUAAUGGGUAAAGAAGCACCGGCUAACUACGUG